rnacentral:rRNA from 1 species
UACGUAGGGGGCAAGCGUUGUCCGGAAUUAUUGGGCGUAAAGCGCGCGCAGGCGGCUUUGUAAGUUUGGUGUUUAAUCUCAGAGCUCAACUCUGAUUCGCAUCGAAAACUGCAAGGCUUGAGUACAGAAGAGGAAAGUGGAAUUCCACGUGUAGCGGUGAAAUGCGUAGAGAUGUGGAGGAACACCAGUGGCGAAGGCGACUACCUGGCCUGUUUCUUGACGCUGAGGCGCGAAAGCUAGGGGAGCAAACGGG